ACAGUACAAACUGAGCAGGCGAUGGAUCCGGGAGGAUCCGUGGGGCUGGGCCUUUCGAGGCAACAGAUGAUAUGCACAUCUGUGGGACAGUG
rnacentral:ncRNA from 2 species